UACGUAGGGGGCUAGCGUUGUCCGGAAUCAUUGGGCGUAAAGCGCGUGUAGGCGGUCCGGUAAGUCCGCUGUGAAAGUCGGGGGCUCAACCCUCGGAUGCCGGUGGAUACUGUCGGGCUUGAGUACGGGAGAGGCGAGUGGAAUUCCUGGUGUAGCGGUGAAAUGCGCAGAUAUCAGGAGGAACACCGAUUGCGAAGGCAGCUCGCUGGAACGUUACUGACGCUGAGACGCGAAAGCGUGGGGAGCAAACAGG
rnacentral:rRNA from 1 species